GAAGCAAUAGUUUAAAUGGAAAAAUGCCUCGAACACAGAGGAGUUGCGAGUUCAAAUCUUGCUUGCUUCC
rnacentral:tRNA from 1 species